AUUGAACGCUGGCGGCAGGCCUAACACCUGCAAUUCGAACGAUUGUCGGCCGGGUGAGUAAUUGAUGGGAAACUGCCUGAUGGAGGGGGAUAACUACUUGCACCGAUAUCUAAUACCGCCUACCAUCGCCUGUGCCCCGAGGUGAUUAGCUAGUAGGUUGGGUAAAGGCUCACCUAGGCGACGAUCCCUAGCUGAUCUGUGAGGAUGACCAGCCACAAUGGAACUUAGACACGGUCCAGACUCCGACGGGAGGCAGCAGUGGGGAAUAUUGCACAAUGGGCGAAAGCAUGAUGCAGCCAUGACGCGUGUAUGAAGAAUGCCUUCGGGUUGUAAAGUACUUUCAGAGGGGAGGCGUUACCCGCAGAAGAAGCACCGGCGAACUCCGUGCCAGCAGCCGCGGUAAUAC
rnacentral:rRNA from 1 species